UACACAUGCAGUCGACGAUGAUGCCCAGCUUGCUGGGUGGAUUAGUGGCGAACGGGUGAGUAACACGUGAGUAACCUGCCCCUGACUCUGGGAUAAGCGUUGGAAACGACGUCUAAUACUGGAUACGACUGCCGGCCGCAUGGUCUGGUGGUGGAAAGAUUUUUUGGUUGGGGAUGGACUCGCGGCCUAUCAGCUUGUUGGUGAGGUAAUGGCUCACCAAGGCGACGACGGGUAGCCGGCCUGAGAGGGUGACCGGCCACACUGGGACUGAGACACGGCCCAGACUCCUACGGGAGGCAGCAGUGGGGAAUAUUGCACAAUGGGCGAAAGCCUGAUGCAGCAACGCCGCGUGAGGGAUGACGGCCUUCGGGUUGUAAACCUCUUUUAGUAGGGAAGAAGCGAAAGUGACGGUACCUGCAGAAAAAGCACCGGCUAACUACGUGCCAGCAGCCGCGGUAAUACGUAGGGUGCAAGCGUUGUCCGGAAUUAUUGNGCGUAAAGAGCUCGUAGGCGGNUUGUCGCGUCUGCUGUGAAAUC
rnacentral:rRNA from 1 species